CACUAAAACUAAAACCACCCGAAUUUCUUUUAUUUUCCUACCACAAUACCGAUCUUGGAGAAAUUUCUCUCCUUUUUUUUUGCGUUUGUUCUGUUCGGAAUUAGGUUUAAGGUUCCUCUUUUUAAUCAACAAUGGGAUGGAGUAACUAAUCUCAACAUCACGAUUCAUACAUGAAGAAUCAGAUCGAACUCUCUAAUAUUAAAAACCCCUCUUCAUCUAUGGAAAUCUUGCCAAGGUGAUUCAUACAUGAUUAAUGGGUAAAUUCUAUAAAAUAAUCUCAGGGUUUUUAAUUUGUUGUCAAUAUGAGUCAAAUUACUAUAAAAUAAUCUCAGGGUUCAUACAUGUACCCAUCUAUGUCGAGUACUAUUACCUGUUUGAUUUUUAUUUUUUUUGGUUUGCGUUAAAGCAUUUCAGUCGAGAAUUUUAGAUUUUUGUUUAAUUGUACCAAAAAUUUGGGAGUUGAAACCGUUUUUCUAUUGAGUAGUUCUGGGGUAUUGUUAAUACUGUGUGUAUCAUGGGCCAUAGAUGAUCAAUUCACAUAUUCUUCGCAGGUACCAAAACUAGGAUUGGAGCAAGGGUGACAAUAUUCUCAUGUCAAGGUCUAAUUGGGCAGUGCACUUUGGUUUGAGAUUUUAGAUCAGGAGAAUUCUGGGGGUUUGAUCUGUUUUGUCAACUUAGAUGAACAUGGUUCUGUUCUCAUCUAUAAUCCCUGCACCAGACAAAAAACACCGUGGAUUAAACCAGCAAGUUCUCAAGAACUCAGUAUUGAUCCUAAUCCUAAAAUACAAUUUCUUCAGAAGAAAAAAAAUGGACUUUACAAGUAUAUGUUUGGAUUUGGAAUUGACCCAGACACUAAGCAACACAAAGUCCUUUCCGUAUAUGAUAUUUCCGUAAGGAAACACAAUGCUAUCUUCAGAAGGGAACCAAAUCCAAUAUUAUUUGGAGACAACACCGUUUCUCUAUCUUCAUCAACCGUGCCGCUAACGCUUGAAGAUCGUGUAUAGAACAUUUCCCUUCCACUGCAGCAGAGGUGGAGCCAAAAAAUUUAACAACGGUGGAAGAUUUCAGGGCGCGAUACUAACAGGCUUAAUAUAACUUUGAAAGACAAAAUUGUGAAAUUUUUUUGCAAACUAAACCAAAAAUGGUGUUUCUGCUGCUCUUUUUGAUGGAGAUGUUCAUCAUUGAUAAAAAGCAAGCAUCUUAGGUUUGUCCCAUUCUGUAUGUCUGUAGUUUGGUACAAGAUCUGAAGUCUGUAUAAGUGUAGGGAAUGGUUGAAAAUGUAUAAAUUUCAUGAUUUAUUUGGCCAAAGAGUGAAGGGAACAUCAGGAGCAAGGAAUAUAGGAUUUGCAGCAAAUGUCUUUAACAUCAUUUCAUUAAGUGUUUGCAGGACGGGAUUGCCAGGCUAUGCCUUUCAUCAAUAAUGGCACAUACAAUAAUGGCUUAUACGAGCCGUCUUAAUCACGCGGUGAAAAAUCUCUUUUUACUCUCCCCAACGACGGUUCAUAUAAUCUGCCAACUAUUUGCAGGACGGGAUCGCCAGGUCUAUGCUUUUAAUCAAGGGAAUUCUUUUAUACAGUAGUUGCAAACGGCUCUGGCCAACGCUUCGGAAGAAAUGGCUUCAGCCCAUGGUCUAGGCUUUGUUUUCUUCUUUUCUUUCUGUGUGGUUGUCUUUGUAUCUUCUGUAUAAUAGUCCUCCAGCAUUGAAAAAGUCAGUGAUGUGCUUACUGAA